rnacentral:rRNA from 1 species
UGCUUAACACAUGCAAGUCGAACGAGAACGGAUUAUAGCUUGCUAUAAUUGUCAGCUAAGUGGCGCACGGGUGAGUAAUAUAUAGUUAACCUGCCCUCAAGAAAGGAAUAACAGUUGGAAACGACUGCUAAUGCCCUAUAUGCCUUUAAUACAUAAGUAUGCAAGGGAAACGCUUUAUUGCUUGAGGAGGGGGCUUCAAUCUAUCAGCUAGUUGGCGAGGUAACUGCUCACCAAGGCAAUGACGGAUAACUGAUCUGAGAGGAUGAUCAGUCACAAUGGAACUGAGACACGGUCCAUACUCCUACGGGAGGCAGCAGUGGGGAAUUUUGGACAAUGGGGGCAACCCUGAUCCAGCCAUGCCGCGUGAGGGAAGAAGGCCUUCGGGUUGUAAACCUC